ACAGUUUCAAAUGCAUACAAAUUCGCGUGUUCUAACUUCUGCAAACUCGGAACUGUAAUUAUUGUAUCAAUUAUCACGGGAAUAAAAAUACAAAUGAGACGGCUUAAAGAUUUAUGAACGCGAAUCCGAGUCGACUUUAAUUCUAUGCAAGUUUAAAGUCCGCGUUAACGCAGGAAGAAAGUAUCAUAAUGACCCGAUAAACGUGCUGUUCGAUCACCCAAUUAAAAAGUUGCAUGCCGGUGACUUCGGUACAACGUAAAAAAUCUCGUGAAUCUUUUAUGUGUCUUCGGAUGCAUCCCAUUACAACAGCAGACGUUCCACCUGCUCCCGAAAGAAAGCGAAUAUCACGGAAGAAACAAGGUUACGUGUUGUCCCCUCAGUGAACAAACGCAAAGGGGAAUUCGAGGAUGAUCGAUGGUUCGUCAGAAAGUGAAACGAUUCUUCAUUUUGGUACCUGCACUGUCACGUCCGCCUCUGGUUUACAUUAAACAUAGUUAACACACGAUGAUAGGUGAAAUUCUAUUUCUCCCUUCAGUGAUUAGAUAAGAAACACUGGCAGUGGUGAUCGAAAUUAAAAUGAAAAUAUUUGUUGGUGAACCGAUGGAAGAACAGUCAUAUAUGGAAUUGUAUAAUUUAUUUUUACUGCAGUAUGAUAGAAUAACAAGUGAUUUUAAAUCAUAAGCUGAUAAUAGAGAGAUAAGUUGGAAGAGGAGAAUGAGGAGUAAAGAACGUAAACUGGAGGAACUAAUUUCGAACUAAUUUAGCACAUGUGACGCUGAGAUCUUAAUCAUUGGAAAGGAAAUGACGGUAAAAACUAACUGGUAACUGGAGUUAAGUUAGAAAACAUGAACGCGAUGAACCCGUGCAAGAAAACGUGGGAAACAAUCAUCAAUCAUCUUUCGUAUCAAAAUUUUAAAAGAACCCAUCGCUCUUUAGUAAUAAUUUAUGGGGCACGGAUCGUUCAUCUCUAUCGAUCCCCGAUAGCCAUGCGACCCUCGAAAGACAAACCGUGGACAACAGAUUACUCAGCAACCCUCGGUCGGCGAUCGACGUGCGACGUACCCCUAGCAAGAGAUAGAGAGGGGAAAGAAAAUGAGGAUAGCGAGAGAAAGAGGGGAGAGAGGCGAGAGAUACACGGUAACUGGUAAGGCCUCGGGUAACGAUUACUCCAGCAACCUCAUGGGGGAUUUUAAUAAGGAAACGAGAGCUUACUCAUAUCACCUCAUGGCGCAAGCGCCAGAAAGCCACCUGUAGCCCCAGCUUCCAAUCAAUACAUCACAGAGGCAAAUCGUGCAGCUUUCCAGAUUCUAAUAUUGCUCAUGGAUGAUUUCAUAGAAGAGGAUACAGAAUAAAAUAAGAAUGUGACGCUUGUCGCCUGGAUGAAAUUGAUUUCCUUCGAACGUUAUCAGUGUAAUAUUACGUGCAAACAUGUUGGUUUAGCCGAAUUUUAUUAAAAGCGAAUAAUAAAGAAAUCUAGGAUGCAAAA